UGAGCAAUCUGCCCUUCACAUCGGAAUAACCAUUGGAAACGGUGGCUAAUACCGAAUAUGACUUCGGAUCGCAUGAUCUGAAGUGGAAAGCUCCGGCGGUGAAGGAUGAGCUCGCGGCCUAUCAGCUUGUUGGUGAGGUAAUGGCUUACCAAGACGACGACGGGUAGCCGGCCUGAGAGGGUGACCCGGCCACACUGGGACUGAGACACGGCCCAGACCUCGUACGGGGAGG
rnacentral:rRNA from 1 species